GGCCUGCGCCGAUCUUCUCGCCCUUUCCUCCUGCGUGCGCAGACGGAGGCCUGACAUGGCGGGCACCGGGGACAACGGCGGCUGCGGGUGCUGGGACCCCUCCAGUGGGGCUGGAAUGGAGCCUAGAUUGCUGUAAAGAGUUCCUCGGUAAGCAGAAAGAUGUCUUGAAGAGAAAAGGUUUUUGUACUAAGAGUCUGGUCUCAGAUAAUGUGACACACUUGGGACUGGGAGCAGAUUGCUCUUGAAAAUGACUCUAAUGAGAAGUUUGCAGGUCUUCAAGUGUUAUUAGUGUAUACCAACUGGUGUUUCAGCUCUUCACCAGUCCUGUGGGAGGCAGGCAGACACCAACAGCAGGAGAUUGUUCUAGGUGUUUAUGCUGAAAACAUCCUGACUGAGGAAAAAGGAAUCCAAUAAAAUGUGCACAGGAGCUUAGUGUGUGUAACACUGCAUAUUUUUCUUACCUGUGAUGUUAAGAAAUAGUUACAACUUUGGUUACACAUGUAUUAAAAUUCUCUCAAACCCUAACUGGGUCUGGUUUUGUGACUUUACUGCAUUAAGGACAGCUUUCCAUUAUUAAACAUAUUUUUCCUAACAUGGUGAAGGUUGUUAUAAU